UUUUAUAGAACCAAUCGAUUAAUUGAGAAAAAUAAUCAACAGAUUAAUCGACUAUGAAAAUAAUCGUUAGUUGCAGCCCUAAAUUCAAUACUGUAGCCCUCAAAGUUUUUCCUGUUGUGCUGAGGUGCUGGUACAUCUUUAUGUUCUGUUUUGAUACAACACCCAACAAGUUAAUGUACUUU